rnacentral:rRNA from 1 species
GGGUUGUGAGGUUAAGCGACUAAGCGUACACGGUGGAUGCCCUGGCAGUCAGAGGCGAUGAAGGACGUGCUAAUCUGCGAUAAGCGUCGGUGAGGUGAUAUGAACCGUUAUAACCGGCGAUUUCCGAAUGGGGAAACCCAGUGUGUUUCGACACACUAUCAUUAACUGAAUCCAUAGGUUAAUGAGGCGAACCGGGGGAACUGAAACAUCUAAGUACCCCGAGGAAAAGAAAUCAACCGAGAUUCCCCCAGUAGCGGCGAGCGAACGGGGAGGAGCCCAGAGCCUGAAUCAGUGUGUGUGUUAGUGGAAGCGUCUGGAAAGGCGCGCGAUACAGGGUGACAGCCCCGUACACAAAAAUGCACAUACUGUGAGCUCGAUGAGUAGGGCGGGACACGUGGUAUCCUGUCUGAAUAUGGGGGGACCAUCCUCCAAGGCUAAAUACUCCUGACUGACCGAUAGUGAACCAGUACCGUGAGGGAAAGGCGAAAAGAACCCCGGCGAGGGGAGUGAAAAAGAACCUGAAACCGUGUACGUACAAGCAGUGGGAGCCUCUUAAUGGGGUGACUGCGUACCUUUUGUAUAAUGGGUCAGCGACUUAUAUUCUGUAGCAAGGUUAACCGAAUAGGGGAGCCGAAGGGAAACCGAGUCUUAACUGGGCGUUAAGUUGCAGGGUAUAGACCCGAAACCCGGUGAUCUAGCCAUGGGCAGGUUGAAGGUUGGGUAACACUAACUGGAGGACCGAACCGACUAAUGUUGAAAAAUUAGCGGAUGACUUGUGGCUGGGGGUGAAAGGCCAAUCAAACCGGGAGAUAGCUGGUUCUCCCCGAAAGCUAUUUAGGUAGCGCCUCGUGAAUUCAUCUCCGGGGGUAGAGCACUGUUUCGGCAAGGGGGUCAUCCCGACUUACCAACCCGAUGCAAACUGCGAAUACCGGAGAAUGUUAUCACGGGAGACACACGGCGGGUGCUAACGUCCGUCGUGAAGAGGGAAACAACCCAGACCGCCAGCUAAGGUCCCAAAGUCAUGGUUAAGUGGGAAACGAUGUGGGAAGGCCCAGACAGCCAGGAUGUUGGCUUAGAAGCAGCCAUCAUUUAAAGAAAGCGUAAUAGCUCACUGGUCGAGUCGGCCUGCGCGGAAGAUGUAACGGGGCUAAACCAUGCACCGAAGCUGCGGCAGCGACACUAUGUGUUGUUGGGUAGGGGAGCGUUCUGUAAGCCUGUGAAGGUGUACUGUGAGGUAUGCUGGAGGUAUCAGAAGUGCGAAUGCUGACAUAAGUAACGAUAAAGCGGGUGAAAAGCCCGCUCGCCGGAAGACCAAGGGUUCCUGUCCAACGUUAAUCGGGGCAGGGUGAGUCGACCCCUAAGGCGAGGCCGAAAGGCGUAGUCGAUGGGAAACAGGUUAAUAUUCCUGUACUUGGUGUUACUGCGAAGGGGGGACGGAGAAGGCUAUGUUGGCCGGGCGACGGUUGUCCCGGUUUAAGCGUGUAGGCUGGUUUUCCAGGCAAAUCCGGAAAAUCAAGGCUGAGGCGUGAUGACGAGGCACUACGGUGCUGAAGCGACAAAUGCCCUGCUUCCAGGAAAAGCCUCUAAGCAUCAGGUAACAUCAAAUCGUACCCCAAACCGACACAGGUGGUCAGGUAGAGAAUACCAAGGCGCUUGAGAGAACUCGGGUGAAGGAACUAGGCAAAAUG